CGUGUUUCCACAUCGUAAACCGAUUGCCGCUGCGGUGCGGUGCGGUGGUUGUCUCUGCUCCAUCUCCGACCGAUUGCGCCGCUCAACAUCGGACGUUUUGGAAGACCGUCAGAUUUGAAGCGUUCUUUCAUUUUAAGUACAAUCUUAUGCCAAGCCGGUCAAUGUGGCCAUUCGGUACAGAUUGGCAUAGUGCAUUCUGAUGUAUACUUGUGUGAUGAUACGUUUCGACCCAUGUUGACACAUGGUAGUUGUCAUGAUCAGCAGGAUAGUGCUUAACAAUAUUUCCAGUUGCCCAAGAGAUGAGUGUUGAAAGGAUUAUGACAAGAUCAGAAGUUCUCAUUUGCAGCUUCUAGUACAAUACUAGCACAGGAUACUUACCUUGUGGCAAGUACAUUGAAGUUUCACCUUUGGUUUCUGGAUUCCCACAAUGCCACUGGUGUUUAUAAAAAGGAAAAGAAGAAACUAUUCCUUGAUGAUUUUGCUUCAAGUUUUCUGCUACUGAUUCUUCACCACCAAACUUGAGUGAUGUCUGGUCUGCUUGGUCUUCCAACUGUUUAGCUUGUUUCCUACUCAUGAUUGUGUAAUAUUUCCUGUACAUUUAAAUCUUUCGAGAUUUGAGUCCAUUAGCAGCAUAAGCCUGAAAAAGUUGCAAGUUCUGACUCCAUUAGCAGCAGUAGAUAAUUAGGUCACAAAUUCUGAGCACUUCCCACACAAAACGUUUCUAGUCUUCAGGUGUUCAUCCUUCAUUUUCGAGAGCAAGGGUCUGAUAAUUCAAGGACUUUCUCAAUGGAAUUUAGUGAUGAAGAAGCUUCCUUCUUUGCUUUAACUGCAAGAUUUGAUUCUCAGAGGAAAAUGUGGGAUUGUAAAUACGUGGCAAAAUUUGGGUGUAUCAUAGGGUUGCUAUAUAUCCAUCCUUUAGCAUAUCUUUUCUUUGGAAUUAUUUGGUUGGCCUUGGUCAAUGCCCAAAGUUGUAAGAUUCUAGUUUCUCAUAAUAUAGUUUCAUGAGUUUUACAGUA